GUCGUCUAUAUCCGUAGUUUCACAGUUUUUCAAGCAUUUUUACAAAGGUUGAUAAAAUCACUAUUCGGUGGAUAGCGCUAUCCGGCCUUCGUACAACUGGCCCCUGACGUUUUGCGGGCAACUUGAAUAUAGCUGUGGCCCUAAGAAUCAUUAGUCAGUAGUAUACUGCACAGACUACAAAAACUUCAAAUUGCUGUAUUUCUUCU